rnacentral:rRNA from 1 species
GACAGAGGGGGCAAGCGUUGUCCGGACUGACUGGGCGUAAAGCGCGCGCAGGCGGAGCAAGGCGUCGGUGCUGAAAUCGGGCCGCUUAACGGCCCGCGGCGUGCCGAUACGCUUGUUCUGGAGCGCGGGCGAGGGUGGUGGAAUUGCCGGUGUAGUGGUGAAAUGCGUAGAGAUCGGCAGGAACACCCGUGGCGGAAGCGGCCACCUAGCCCGUUGCUGACGCUGAGGCGCGACAGCGUGGGGAGCGAACUGG